AACGUAGGACGCGAGCGUUAUCCGGAGUUACUGGGCGUAAAGCGCGGGCAGGCGGUCUGACAAGUCUGAUGUGAAAUCACCCAGCUUAACUGGGCGAGGCCAUUGGAAACUGACAGGCUGGAGGGCAGUAGAGGUAGGCGGAAUUCCGGGUGGAGUGGUGAAAUGCGUAGAUAUUGGGAGGAACACCAGUGGCGAAGGCGGCUACCUGGACCGGUACUGACGCUGAUGCGCGAAAGCGUGGGGAGCAAACAGG
rnacentral:rRNA from 1 species